rnacentral:rRNA from 1 species
AAACUCAAAUGAAUUGACGGGGCCCGCACAAGCGGAGGAACAUGUGGUUUAAUUCGAUGAUACGCGAGGAACCUUACCUGGGCUUAAAUGGGGAGUGACAGCUGUCGAAAGAUGGUUUUCUUCGGACACUCUUCAAGGUGCUGCAUGGUUGUCGUCAGCUCGUGCCGUGAGGUGUCGGGUUAAGUCCCAUAACGAGCGCAACCCUUACCGUUAGUUACCAUCAGGUUAAGCUGGGGACUCUAGCGGGACUGCCACCGUAAGGUGAGAGGAAGGUGGGGAUGACGUCAAAUCAGCACGGCCCUUAUGUCCAGGGCUACACACGUGUUACAAUGGCCAGUACAAAGGGCAGCUACCGGGUGACCGGAUGCUAAUCUCUAAAGCUGGUCUCAGUUCGGAUCGAAGUCUGCAACCCGACUUCGUGAAGCUGGAUUCGCUAGUAAUCGCGCAUCAGCCAUGGCGCGGUGAAUACGUUCCCGGGCCUU